rnacentral:rRNA from 1 species
GACGAACGCUGGCGGCGUGCUUAACACAUGCAAGUCGAGCGAGGAAACUUUAACAGAACCCUUCGGGGCGAAGAUAACGUGGAUUAGCGGCGGACGGGUGAGUAACACGCGCGUAACCUGCCUUAGACAUUGGGAUAGCCUCGGGAAACCGGGAUUAAUACCAAUUAAAAUCAUAAUCACACAUUUAAUAACGUGCAAAAGUACGGUGGUCUAAGAUCGACUUGCGUUCCAUUAUCUAGUUGGUUGAGUAAAAGCCUACCAAGGCGACGAUGGGUAGCCGGGCUGAGAGGGUGAACGGCCACAUUGGAACUGAGAAACGGCCCAAACUCCUACGGGAGGCAGCAGUGGGGAAUAUUGCACAAUGGAGGAAACUCUGAUGCAGCGACGCCGCGUGAACGAAGAAGGCUUUAGAGUUGUAAAGUUCUUUUAUAUGGGAAGAUAAUGACGGUACCGUAAGAAAAAGCCCCGGCUAACUACGUG